AAAGGAUUUGAGUCCACCAAUAAGCUUCCACGCAAACAAUAAUGCAACAAUAAGCUUAAUAGACAUUCAAAUAAGGUACAGCCUAUUUGAAACAGGAAACAACCUAAUACACAGGGUAAUUUUAUUUUAGGUGCCUAAGUGGGCCUAAGAGCAGCCAACUUCUAAAAAGCGUUAAAGCUUUAUCACCAAACACAAUAAUCCCCUAAACAACAUAAAACCCUUAAUUUAUACUGAGUGAUUCUAUGACCACAUAGAAAACCUAAUGCUAAAACUAGUAACAAGAAUGCCUUCUCUUAAGUGUCAGUAUAAGCCAGUACCUUGGCACCUACCGCCAAUGAACACAAAGUGGAAACUCUCUCAGAAAAAUCCACUAACCAUAGCGUUAAUCUUACCCAAGCACACUUCAAGAAAGAUUAAAAAAAGAGGAAGGAACUCGGCAAAUCAUUAAUCCCGCCUGUUUACCAAAAACAUCGCCUCCUGAAAGAUUAUAGGAGGUCCAGCCUGCCCAGUGAUAAAAUUAAACGGCCGCGGUACCCUACCCGUGCAAAGGUAGCGGCGG
rnacentral:rRNA from 1 species